UAUCUGAAGGAUUUAUUUGACAAAGAAGCGAUAAUUAGUCAGAGAGAGAAAUCUGAGCUAUUGAGCAGAACUCAGAACACUGUGACCUACACUGACCCCGCUUACUUUGGUGAAGGAACCAAACUAACUGUUUUAGAACCAGGCCAUGACAUCACACCGCCACAACGUGUAUCAGUGCUUAAACCAAAGGGGUGCACAAACAACACGGUGACGUUGGUGUGCGUGGCAUCGGGUUUCUAUCCAGACCACGUCAUUGUGUCCUGGAAGAUCAAUCAGGUCAAAGACACUAAAAAUGUGGCAACUGACGCCAUCGCCCUGCGGGAAGGUAAAUAUUACAGCAUCACCAGCAGGCUGAAGGUCGCGGCUGACAUGUGGUUCACAAGCAGCAACAAAUUCACCUGUGUGGUCGAUUUCUUCAACGGAACAGCAACAACACCCUAUAAUAAGUCAGUUUACAGUGAAGAAGGUAUUAGAAGCAUCACACAAGACAAGUACAUGAGAGUCAUGCAGAUGGCCAAACUCUCCUACUGUGUGUUCAUCUUCAAGAGCUGCAUCUACGGAGGUUUUGUGGCCUUUUUGGUCUUGAACCAUCAGAGGGUCACUGGAAAGCAGUGCAUCUGAGAGCUGUGAUCAAGCCCCCGCCAAAAAAGCUUAAACCGACUGUAAAUAGAAUUUAAAAUAGAGCAACUUCAAGAACGGCUUUUUUCAACUCAGGAAAGUAAGUUCUAUAAGUUGGCAACUUAUAGAACUUACUUUCCUGAGUUGAAUAAAUGAUUUUAAGGCAGCAACUGAACUUAGGUUUUUAAGUUGAAUCACCAUGAUAAUUUUUGCAGUGUAAUAAUGCUGUGCUUCUGGUUAUGAAGUGCUUUCUGUAGAAUUGUAUUUUUAAAUAAAAUGUUUCAAAAGGUCCUGUUAA